ensembl:lncRNA
UUUUUUUUUUUUUUUUUUACAUGUUCAGAAAAGACACAGUAGGGUCACUGCUGUGGUAUUAGGCUAUGUGAAGCAUGUCAUAACUUAAAGAAAUCAUGCUUUCAGUUCCUGGUACUGGCCCCAGUUGUAGGUCACAAUUACUAGCAGUAUGUCUUUUGUUGUUUGAGGGGUUUUUUUGUCAUAUGCCAAGCCAGUGUAAAGGAGGAAAAUGAGGUUUUGUUUUUCACAGUAGCUUGAAGCAGUGGUGACAUGGGCCUAGAAAACUAGCAGAUCAUAGGAAAACUGACUAUUAAAACCAGUCCAAACUGGUACAUUUCUUUAGGGCAAUCUUGUCCAAAUGACACGCUAUAAAAAAUAUUAAAAUUAAUAGAACAAUGGCUGAAAGUUUGAAUUGUCUUCUAUUCCUUGUAUAUAUUUGAUGCUCAUUGCUUUUAGCCAUUCCAGCAUGGGGCAUUUUAGAUCCUGAAUCUGGGUCUGAAUGGGCCAGCCCCUCCAUGUCCUGGCAACAGUACCAGGACCAAGAUGGAGUGAUACAGGCCAUGCCUUGUGCCUUCAGGAGACAUGAGGGAGGGUUUGGGUCCAUGAAGUUUGCUUAGCCAAACCUGUAAGAGCUGGGGUACCACACUUCUUCCGUCUUCCCACUCCAGGCUGAGGGUAUAACCCAGGAAAACAAACUCUGAAAUUAGCUUUUGGGUAUCUUUCCAUCUAAACAAACAAAAAUCAAUUUCUCCUUUAAUUAUUUCAUUGCUUUCUUCACUCACUAUUUCACAUCUGUAAUACCUGGUUUCUUCCAGAAACAAGGAGAGAUGGGACAUUCAUGGCCAACCCCACAGGUAUCACCAGUGCAAACACAAAGGCAAAACCAAGACCAUGCUGGGGUCCAACUGCUGAAUUUAGCCUCCUCUAAACUGCCAGAAGUAUGACUACCACAAGGAAAGAGAUUAGCUGAAAGUAGACAACUUUUCUCCUUUUGAGACAUUUUGAAUGUUGUGUUAAGUCAACAUGAGAAUAAACAUGUUGGUACUUGCUAAUAUAAUCGGGUACAGAGUGUACCUCAGCUGGUGUCUUGCUUUGCUUCUUUCAUAGCCAUACUAGACUUGUUGGAUGUUCAGGUGAUUGCUCUCUCAGUAUGCAAUGGCAGGCUAGAAAGAGAAUAGAGAAGGUGGGUGUACAUGACUGGGUCUUGUUGAUGGGAUGCAGUUUGGUAGGAAACAGGGAUUUUCUCAGAGGACCCACAUUGCAGCAGGAAGACUUGUUUUCUAAAACAGGCAGGCACAAUCAGAGCCGAAUCUUUUUUCAGCUUUUUCUGGUGUGAGGAUGAGCCAAGCCCCUCUGAUCCCCUGUCACCUUCUCUUAUUUGCUGCAACAGAGAAUAACCCUUCUCAUGCCUAUCAAUUUCUCUGUGACUGAGAUGCCCAAGUAUGAUGAACACUUACAGUGAACAUUUUCAUAUUAAUAACAGAAGAACAAUUGCAAAUUUUUCACUGACAUAUUUGGUAGGAGGUGUCUUAUCCAGAUAUGCAUUGUAAGGAGGGAAAUCUGCUUCCAUACCUACUACCUGAAAAGUGUAUAGUUGGGAUAUCAUUUUAUUUACAUGAAUUUCCAAAAAGUAUACAAUUGCUUACUUUUGUUUCUUCUCCCACUUGCUUCCCUUUUCAAGGUGCAUGAAGUAGAAAAACAUGUCUGAAAAUACUGUUUAAAAGCCCACAUUAUAAGUUAUGUCUUCUAAAAUACCUUUUCCCCCAGGCUUGGCAAGUGUAUUGUCAAUUCUCCCUUACCUCAUGUACUUGAUUGCCAGAUUUGAAUUCUUGAACUUCUAAGUCUUUGAAGAUGUUCCUCAACAUAUGACAGUUUAGGUGGUUUUAAUGAAAUUACUUCAAGAUAUAAAGACAAGCAUUAGCAUAAAACAUUUCAAAAAUUAAAUUUUUAAGAGACACCACAAAAGAGUUGCUGCCCGUGCUAAACAGUCCGAUUUUAUUCUGUUAUAGGGAAUACCUUUUUUACUGGACCCUUUAUUUCAUCUGUAGAAGGUAAGAUCAUUUACACAUUCAAUAUCUUUCUCUCUUCAAUGUUCAAAUGAUACAGGGUUAGCUAAUUAAGACUUUGAGAAUCACAAGGAGGAUAAAAAAUUUUCCAUUCAGUUAUAUGCAACACUAAUCAAAGAAAACAAAAUAAUCAAUGAAAUUAAUUAUUUUAACUAAGUUAAUAUGAUAAAUUUAACCUAAUCAGUAUUGACAGCACUUGGAAUUUUAUGACCAUUCACUGGGAAGCUUGCAUAAAAGCAAACCUCAGAGAAUUAGAUGCAGAAUCUUUAAGACUCAGUUCCUUAUAAAUAUUUUUCCUAUUGAAAAAAUCAUGAGUACUAACAAGUGAAAAAAUCAGAAGAGAAAUUACAAAAAUAAUGAAUUAAUGGAAUAGUAACACUGACAUUUCUGACUUUGACUAACACAUCAUAAAGUUUCUCGCAAUAUCUAUCUCUCUUUUUAAUUUGGACAUUCCUUUUUUUUUUUAUUCUGAAGCCAACCUUACAUUUGAAGAUAUAGUUUGGUAUUUCUGAAAAACUAGGGGUUGCAGUGCUGCUAAUUUAAUAACAUUUUACAGGUUUCCAGCCUCCUUUUAUAAUUUUGUUUUAAUUUUCCCCCUGUUAUCCUUGUGUCCCCCUCUGACUGCCCAGUGAAAAGCACCAAUGUCUUAAAAGCUCAAGUCUCCUCAAAUUACAAGUAGCACCAAGCUAAGACCUAAUGCUGCCUGUGCCACCCACAGCCACUGUCAUUCAUGUCAAACUUUUACUGACAACAGCUGAUCUCAGACAGGCAAUAGAAAAUUCAAAGAAUUCAGAUUUAAAAAACACAAACCAAAAACAAACCCUGCCCCUAAAAACUAAAAAACCCAAAUCCACUGUUAUAAAGUUCAAACAAAUUUAUAGAGACAUGGAUCACUCACAUUGAUUUAAUAUACUGCCCUAGUUUUUCAGCAUGGAUGGCUUUACACCCACUGCUAUCCCAUAACAACUAUUGAUCCUGCUGCUCUGCAUUUUAAGAAAAAUAGGACUUCAGAAAGAAGCAUGGUGGAAAUUUCCAGAAUAUAGAUCUUGAGUUUUGAUAAAGACAGUCCUUUUAUAUUUAAUUACUAGGCCUGGGAAGCUUAGAUGCCCUGCCCGUUGUUUCUGCCUGAGUACACUUAAAUGAAUUUAUGCAGGUGGGAUUCUCCACCCUACCACUUGCUUUUUUCUUCUUGCUGUACAAUCAUUGAAUAGGAAAAAAGAAAUUUCCAUCAGCUUUGUUGCUAACACUUCUGGUCUUCCUUGUUCUGGGUGAGGAAUGGUUUUGUUAUCUUUUGAAGAAGCCAGGACAAAGAAUCAGCAAAAUAACACAUCUCACAUCAGUUUAGAAAUUAGCUCUAUUAAAUAUUACAAUGCUUUUCAAUUGUUGUCUGAAGAAAAUAAUUUAUUUGGCAUAAACAGGGCUUAUCUUAAAGGUUCUGCAGAGAUAAAAGACCUUCAUCCACCAGCAAUUAAGUAUGACAGGAAAUAGACUCCUGAAGUCCUUGGUAUAUUUGCAUGUAAAAGAUUACUCCAAACUGUAUUAAAAUUAAUCAUGUCUUUUCAAAUAUGCUUGGGGUUUUUCAUGAAGGCAGUUGGUAACAGACCUGCAAGGUUCCAGCCUAUAACGACUCUGGAUUAUCUAAAAAUAGACUGUCAGUUUCUAUUUUUAUCAGCAGUGAUAUAAAUCCGAAGAAACCCCACCAGUUUCAGACUAGUUGUCUUGUAUGUACAUUUGAAUUAAAGAUGUCAAAUCAGCCUCUAUUUUAGUACUGCACAUCCCUAGAUGCAAAUCUCUGAUUCUGCAAACAAAAUCUGUACUAAUUCAUUAAUUCUGUGCAUCAGCCACCUGAGUAAGCAUUAAUAUUUUCAGGGGGAAAAAAAGGCUGUGAGUGUUCUUUACUGCCAGUCUGUUUUAAUAGUAUCUUGAGGGAGGAUUGAGACAGCUGAAACAGCAAUUGCUCAGAAUACUCUUUAAGCCACAAUGUUUUGGUUACCUCACUUACCUCAGAAUAUUUUUUUCUGUGAAUUAGAAACUGACUUAUUCCUUAUGUAGUAUUCAACUAUUUCAAAGAUGCUUUUGCAAUGCCAAGAUGCAGUAAAAUGCAAUGUAAUGUAAAUCACUCUCUGAUACUAUUUUCUCCCUUCAUUUUUUGGAUAAAUCUGUAAACACAAUGAAAAAAAUUAUUUUCAAUGGCACCAGUGGAGAAACUGGUGUCAGAGAUGGAGUUUAAAAGUCUAUAAUAAAUAGCUAUAUAUCUAAAAUAGCUAAAUAAGGUAUUUCCUAAACUGGAUUUUGGGUACACUACUUUGAAGAUUGAACAUUUAUUAUUUUGGUAAGGAGAACAUUUUAACUGAUGAAACUGGGGAUCACAUAAUAUUAUCCUCCUGGCUCAUUUAAUAAUACAUAGUAAUGCAGUAUAUAUUUCCAGUGCAACCUCUCUUUCUUGUCUAGCACUAUUUCUGCAAAUUGAUGCCUUUUUCUGAGCAACAAACCCAAGCACUAAUGUGGUCAAGAGAAACUGGAACAAAUGACCGCCUGCUCCGGAGAGCAGCACACUAUGAGAUUGAAGUCCUUCAUGUUUAGAUAGUGGCUUGGCUCUCAGCAACAGGUCAUAGCCACAGAAACAAGAGCUGCAUGAAAUAUCAUGUAGGGCCUGUAAACUUAGGAAUUCUCUAUCUGCUGCCAGCAGUGUCCUAUAGGAUCUCAAGCAGCCUGUCGCAACCUGGAAAGACUGCAAAUAUUUCUGAAUAGACCUGCUAGGUUUGGCAGAAGUCAGUACAUUAAGCUAACAGGGGAGCCUGUUUUUAAGUCUUUAUUUUGUAAGUCUGCUAAAUAUCAUAGUAAGUCCAAGACAAAGAUGUUUCUCAUAACAAUAAUUCCACUGUGUCCCAUAUAAGAGUAAAUUAAAAAUUAAUGCACUUUGUUUUAAUG